GACGAACGCUGGCGGCGUGCUUAACACAUGCAAGUCGAACGGAAAGGCCCUGCUUUUGUGGGGUGCUCGAGUGGCGAACGGGUGAGUAACACGUGAGUAACCUGCCCUUGACUUUGGGAUAACUUCAGGAAACUGGGGCUAAUACCGGAUAGGAGCUCCUGCUGCAUGGUGGGGGUUGGAAAGUUUCGGCGGUUGGGGAUGGACUCGCGGCUUAUCAGCUUGUUGGUGGGGUAGUGGCUUACCAAGGCUUUGACGGGUAGCCGGCCUGAGAGGGUGACCGGCCACAUUGGGACUGAGAUACGGCCCAGACUCCUACGGGAGGCAGCAGUGGGGAAUAUUGCACAAUGGGCGGGAGCCUGAUGCAGCAACGCCGCGUGCGGGAUGACGGCCUUCGGGUUGUAAACCGCUUUCGCCUGUGACGAAGCGUGAGUGACGGUAAUGGGUAAAGAAGCACCGGCUAACUACGUGCCAGCAGCCGCGGUGAUACGUAGGGUGCGAGCGUUGUCCGGAUUUAUUGGGCGUAAAGGGCUCGUAGGUGGUUGAUCGCGUCGGAAGUGUAAUCUUGGGGCUUAACCCUGAGCGUGCUUUCGAUACGGGUUGACUUGAGGAAGGUAGGGGAGAAUGGAGUUCCUGGUGGAGCGGUGGAAUGCGCAGAUAUCAGGAGGAACACCAGUGGCGAAGGCGGUUCUCUGGGCCUUUCCUGACGCUGAGGAGCGAAAGCGUGGGGAGCGAACAGGCUUAGAUACCCUGGUAGUCCACGCUGUAAACGGUGGGUACUAGGUGUGGGGUCCAUUCCACGGGUUCCGUGCCGUAGCUAACGCUUUAAGUACCCCGCCUGGGGAGUACGGCCGCAAGGCUAAAACUCAAAGGAAUUGACGGGGCCCCGCACAAGCGGCGGAGCAUGCGGAUUAAUUCGAUGCAACGCGUAGAACCUUACCUGGGUUUGACAUGGAUCGGGAGUGCUCAGAGAUGGGUGUGCCUCUUUUGGGGUCGGUUCACAGGUGGUGCAUGGCUGUCGUCAGCUCGUGUCGUGAGAUGUUGGGUUAAGUCCCGCAACGAGCGCAACCCUUGUUCACUGUUGCCAGCACGUUAUGGUGGGGACUCAGUGGAGACCGCCGGGGUCAACUCGGAGGAAGGUGGGGAUGACGUCAAGUCAUCAUGCCCCUUAUGUCCAGGGCUUCACGCAUGCUACAAUGGCUGGUACAGAGAGUGGCGAGCCUGUGAGGGUGAGCGAAUCUCGGAAAGCCGGUCUCAGUUCGGAUUGGGGUCUGCAACUCGACCUCAUGAAGUCGGAGUCGCUAGUAAUCGCAGAUCAGCAACGCUGCGGUGAAUACGUUCCCGGGGCU
rnacentral:rRNA from 1 species